rnacentral:rRNA from 1 species
UACGUAGGCAGCGAGCGUUGUUCGGAGUUACUGGGCGUAAAGAGUGCGUAGGCGGUUUGUCGCGUCUGCUGUGAAAUCCCGAGGCUCAACCCCGAGCCUGCAGUGGAUACGGGCGGACUAGAGUGCGGUAGGGGAGACUGGAAUUCCUGGUGUAGCGGUGAAAUGCGCAGAUAUCAGGAGGAACACCGGUGGCGAAGGCGGGUCUCUGGGCCGAUACUGACGCUCGAUGUGCGAAAGCGUGGGGAGCAAACAGG